AUGGACAGGGUCGCCGGGAGAGCGAGCAGCGCCUUGCGGCCGUAUCUAUCGGAGAGGUUGCCGAUGACCGGCGUGACCACCAGCGCACCCAGCCCGGUGAUCUGCAGCGAUUUUUAUUCAGGACAUGAGACUGAUCACUUCACUAUAGCUCAAGAGGAGAAAUUUGCACUUGCCGAGGCGAAAAGGUUAGCUAUGCAAGCAAAAAAGGGAGAAGCGGCAGAGGCAAAACAACGGAAGGCAGAAGAAGAAAAAAAGGAUUCAAGAAGAGAAGAAGAGAGAGGCAGAGGAAGCAUGCGCAAGGGAGGAAAGUCAGUUCAUUUUCAUGCAACAAGAGGAGCAGGAAAGGCAGCAGAGAUGGAGAGAAUAUCAGCAGCGAGAGGAGCAAGCAAGGCAAAAGACUGCUCCACAAAGUGA
rnacentral:rRNA from 1 species